rnacentral:rRNA from 1 species
CCUACGGGAGGCAGCAGUGGGGAAUCUUGCGCAAUGGGCGAAAGCCUGACGCAGCCAUGCCGCGUGAAUGAUGAAGGUCUUAGGAUUGUAAAAUUCUUUCACCGGGGACGAUAAUGACGGUACCCGGAGAAGAAGCCCCGGCUAACUUCGUGCCAGCAGCCGCGGUAAUACGAAGGGGGCUAGCGUUGCUCGGAAUUACUGGGCGUAAAGGGAGCGUAGGCGGAUAGUUUAGUCAGAGGUGAAAGCCCAGGGCUCAACCUUGGAAUUGCCUUUGAUACUGGCUAUCUUGAGUAUGGGAGAGGUAUGCGGAACUCCGAGUGUAGAGGUGAAAUUCGUAGAUAUUCGGAAGAACACCAGUGGCGAAGGCGGCAUACUGGCCCAUUACUGACGCUGAGGCUCGAAAGCGUGGGGAGCAAACAGGAUUAGAUACCCUGGUAGUCCACGCUGUAAACGAUGAGUGCUAGUUGUCGGCAUGCAUGCAUGUCGGUGACGCAGCUACGCAUAAGACACUCCGCCGUCGGGUAGGUACGGUCGCGAGAAGUUAAACGUACGAAGAAGUUAGACGGCGUGAGACGUGCCGACGGACGACGACGAGGGAGGUUAGG